UGGGCCGUUGCUCCGAGGCGAUAGACUAGAUUCCGAUACUCGAUACCGCAACGUCGGGCAUGGUCAGCGAGGCCCUUGCAUUUUCAGCUGGAGUUGGAGGAACUUAAAUGGAGACCGAACAAAUUGGAGCAGCCGUAAUGAACGCUACGCUCCCGAUGCACCGAUAAAUCAUGCGUGAGAAAAGCAAUGCAGGAAGCUCACUUGCAAAUAUCUUCCUUGCUACGACCUAGGGCCUCCGUUCAUCGACGUUCGACCCAGUGUGGUUUUAAGCAUCCUUCAAGCUUGAUGCCCUCUACACAGUUAAAAAUGUCCGUGUUUCUGGCAACUUUGAGUUGCUUUUUUCGGUCAGAUCAGCUAGAAGGACUUUGUUAAUUGUCUAAAUUUUCAUUAAUCUACAGAAACCGUAGGUCACUCUAAAAUGAAAGGAUAGAGUAAGUCCUGCUAAACUAAUGUAUACUUGUUCCCCUUGAUGUCACCUAGAGGUCGACACCUGUGCGUGCGUCUGUGUAGUGUGCGCGAUGGAAAUUCGAUCCUGGCGUUUCGUGCCGGUUUUCCAACGAGGCUGCAACUUUUCAACCAAAAGAUUUUCUCAAUGUAACCAAAAGGAAAAUGUUAACCGCAAGUCUGGAUUACUUUGUGUUAAAACUUUCCUUACUAAGACGAAGUGUUGGUUGCUUUUUCAUGCUGUGUAGAUGGGGCUGCCGCAGUGCCGCAUAGACUGUACUCCGAUUCAUAUAGCCGCCUUUUUUUCUCUCAGUUAAAAGAGGUACUCUGUCGUGCUAUUACAGGAGGCCGUAUGAACAUUAGGAUAUUGUCAAAUUUUCCCCAAUAAAUGCUCAUUUUUCAAGGAAAGUUGAGAAUAUUUGAAAAUGCAUGGAUGCAAGAUUAUAUGGCAAAGAAAGUUCUCUGAGAAUGUUAACAAAAAAAGACAGUAAGUUUCCUCGAAAAUCAGUGUUCUACUCGGAGAAAUUUUUCAAGAUCUGGGUGGUCAUACAGCGAAUUUUCUCAGAAACUAUUACCGAUAUUCCUCACUUACAUCACCGGUAUGCUACUGAUACUGGUAUUCUACUGAUUUAUCAAAUAUGCUGCAGUUUUCCUUAGCAGUUUGUCAAACUGUGACAUUUCAUCACACCGGUUUUCGCUGAGUAAAAAAAGUGUGUAACUCCUUCCAAAGUUUCGACUCCUGUUUUAUUAUUUCAAGGAGAACAAGUCAACUUUAUCCCAAGAAAUUUAUUCAGAACAUCCCGCUUGCAGAAAAUUAAAAUCAAGGCAGUUUCUACCUACGAUUAUUCUCCCCGCAGAUAAAUAUUUUGAUAUUGACAUUGAGAUAAUUUGCAAAAAUUAGAAUUCAACACCGCUCCU
rnacentral:lncRNA from 1 species